UCCAAUUUUUUAGACAUGGAGAAAAAUGCUUAACAGAGCCUUGCCCAAAAUAAGUCUUUAAGAAAUACUUAUUGAAAUAAAUAAAAGGGUCUGAGAGUUCAAAUUGCACUUGGGUAAAAAACUAGGAAAUUAUAAUCCAUUAGCCAGACUAAUCAGAUUUUAGUUAGGCAAUGAUAAAAUGCAGUUACUCAUCAGAUCGUCUGAUGACUAAAGAACACUAUACCAGAAUCUGAAUCCACUUUUCUUUCACAGCAAAACUACAACCACUUAAGUUGAAAGCGCAGACUCCAGUUUUGGUUUUCACUGUCAAUAGGCAUGAGGCAGAGGUUUUAAAAAACAAGUAACACUCACGGAGACCUAUCCCACUAAAAAUGGUGCACCUCUUUCUGGUCUGAUUCAGUGGUCCUUUUACACAACUGUGAUUUCUGAGGGUUUUUGGAGGUCUGUGUGCUAGUGUUGAAAUUCUCUUUCAUUCACUUUGGACUUGUAGGUUCACCCUAGAACAGGCUACACAGGUACUAGCUAACUGAAAGGCUGCAGUGCUAGGUACAGAGAACACAAUGAUGAAUCAGCCAGGAUCCCCACUUCAUGAUGCCCCUGGUCAUGACACAAGGGGCCAAAAAACAGGCAGGUAAAGGUGCUGAGGGAGCAGAAGACAAAAUUCUGUGCUGCUUAAGGGAGAUAAGAAUGUCAUCUGAGAUGAAAGAUAUUUGAGCACAAGUUUGAAGGAGGAAUAGGAAUUUUCCAAGUGAACACAUGGGGUAAGGGAUAAAGAAAGCACUCCAGAAGAAAGAGAAUUGUAUGUAUUCUCAGGAGACAGUUUCUUUGUAAACUUCAGGAGAAAGGAAUAUGCUCCUGGUAUGGGAAGAAACUCUGUAUAAUGACACAGAACAGAUGUUUAUACACAGGGCAGGGACAGAUCAUGAAAGGAUAUGCAUUUCGCACCAACAGUACUGGAUUUUAUCCUGUAAGCAGCUAAGAGCCCCCAAUGUCACCAAGUAAGACAACUACAUGGUCAGAUCUGUGGCAGACAGACUGAAUGAGAGUAAGACUAGGGAUCAGGAAGCUACUUCAGAAACUCUUUGCAGGAGUCCAUCUGAGAGACAGUAAGGCCUGAACCACUGCAGUUGUAGUGGUGAGGGAGAGGGCAGGACAGAUUAGUGAGGUAGAACCAAAGUGAUCUGGUGAUCAACUGGGUUGAGAGUGGAGAAGAGGAAGAAAGGGAAGAUGAAUAUUGGAUAGACUAUAAACAGUUUCUGAUGCAGAUAUCCUGUCUUGCUUUUAGAAGCUUCAUUUUUCCAACAAUAAACAUGAGGAAAUAGAAACACCCAUAGGUGAUAACUGGAUUCUGUUUGAAGGCAGAAAGGCUUUGAGUAGCCAAAGAGAGCUAGGAAAUAAAGAAGGACCUUUACUUAUUAUUUUUUGAAUCUACAAUAAGUAUGGUGCUGGUAGGAAUUUUACAUAUAUUAUCCCAUUAAUUUUUACCAGUGAGGUAGGCUAUCUUAUCUACAUCCUUUAUAGAAGAUGCUGCCAAGUCUCAGGAACAUCAGUUUCCCAAGGUCAUAUAACCAAUAACAGUACCAGACUGACCACAAAACCUUUGCUUUGCUUUUCUGAAAAAUCUGUACCCCGACUUUGCAAAGUGUAGCAAAGUGCCAAGUGAAAAAUAUUUCCCAGGUUCCUGUGCCAUUAGGGGUAGCCUAGUAUAUGAAACAUUAGGGCCCAGAACUCUGUUAAGAGAUUAUUUGUAAAGUUUCUAGACAUAGGUAGUUUUAUUCUCUCUCAGCUAUCUCCAUUUUUGCAACUUCCUGGAAAAUAGGUAUGAUGGCUGGAGUUGCAACAGCUAUAUUGCAGAUGCGAGGAAAAGAUCAAGACUCAUAAAACAUUAGCCUUGACAUACUUGACUUCCUGAAAUAAUACUUCUGUCACCUUCCACCAGACUUCUCAUCACAUGCAAAAAAUAAAGCUCUAAAUUUAAGCCACUGUCUUUCAGGUUUAAGUCUCAUCUGAGCCAAUUCCUGAUUUAAUCUCUUCAACUUGACUUUGGCAUGAGUAUCAAGGUGUCAACCACAAUUUCCUUCCAAUUUAAAAAGAAACCCUUAAUGAGUGUCAAGUAUGUCAGAUACUGUGUAUAUAGACAUGAAAAUAAAUUUUACAUAUUGACUCAUUUAAUUCUUACAGUAACCCUGCAGGGUAAGGAGUGUCAUUCUCAUUUUAGAGCAAAGGACAUAAAUAAGAAGCUAAGUACUUUAUCAAACAUACCAUAGUGAUACAUGGCGAGCAUAGUGGUCUGUCUGAUGAUAACGUUCACAUUCUAGCAGCUCUCCAUGCUACUGCAGUUCUAUGAACUCACUGCUGUGAAGAACCAUCACUCCCAAGACAAUGUCUCUCUAAAUUAAGUAGUACUUCUCCUAGCUCUUCCAUACUGAUAUCAAAAAUUCAACUGGGAAACCGUCUAAAAAGUAUAUCUAGGACAUGAAAAAAACAGUGUAUACGGCAGGAAACCAUGAAGUGGCUGAUGUGGCAAGUAGAAAGAACUGCAGAUGCCUUAGGUACGCUCUGCCUGAAAGCAGCUGGAUGGAGCUGAUGAUCUGGAAAGGAGACUCCUUUCAACAAUGACCUGAAGAAAUCAUGUUUAACUGGAAAUCAGCAUGUGCCUGAGGCAUGGGAGAGAGAGAUUAAGAAAGGUGUCCAAUGUCACGCACGUUUUCACAGUAAAACAACUCAUGAUUUUAUCGCGUAUAAUUUUUGAAAAGUGAGAGAGAAUUAAAGUUGGGAAUUACGUAUAUCUCUUAUAACCUAUUUAAAAAGCACACUUUAAAUGUAGGCUUGUUUUAUUAUAUAAAUAUACAUAUAUAUGCAUAUUUUAACCCUUCCUUCUACACCAUGAACCCAAAGCAGCCAACAAGAAGAUUCACAAUAAAUUUAAAAAUCCUAACCAGGAAAAAUACAAAACAGGAGCAUGAGAUAAGGGGAAAAUAAGGUAGGCAGAUAUGGAUCCUAGAGAAUCCUAAAAUGAGCUGUAAAUUUAGGUCUGAGCUUCCCCCUACCAAGGGAAAAUGGAAAAAAAAAAAAAAGACUAGGUACAAAAGUCACAGUGGUCAUGAGAAAAAGAAAGUAUUACUGCCUCAGGUGAAACAAUAUUUUCUGUUAGCAGGAAAACAAUAAGAAAUCAGAAGACCUAAAAGGGACUUCCCUCAGGGCAACUAGGUAAGGAGUGGACAAUGUGUUGGUAUUUCCUCCAUAAUAACUGUCAUGGUCUCCUUCACACAACAGUUUCUUACAAUUAUUCAGUCAGGCUGAAAACCAGUUCAGGGAAGGCAGUGUGGGAAGGGCUGGGCCAUCGAGAUAGGAGCAUCAGCUCUCUGAUGAGCAAGCUUGCUCUAGUAAUAAGUCCCAGAAUAUCUGCAUGAACAAAGAAACAGCAUGUUCUUCAAAUUAUUCUCCAACCGACUUAAGAAGUAGGAUUAUGCAACAGUUUACUGACUCUUUUCAGUUCAGAAGUUCUGAGAAAGUUUUCAGGGGCUUUUUAUUAUUAUGUAAAUGGUACUUCAGUCCACUGGCACUGUGCUCCUAGGUGUAGUACUUAUAUGCCAAUUUUUUCUCUUUCUCCAAGAGGCAUAAAAAGGCAGAGAAAACGUGGGUUGCUAUUACUUAAAAAAAAAAAAAAAAAAUUAUGGCUUUUAGCUUUUACGUGAGGAGGUUCUAGUACAUACACUUUCUAUUAUAUACCUGGUGUUAGAGAAAAUUUAUGAAUUCACACUGGGAAUGAUUUUUUAACUAAUUUAAAAUGUGAUCUGCGACAUUAAACAGUCCUUGAAUGGGUAGAAAUUAACGUCAAUUAUUAACAGGUUAGGAAUGAACGCAGGAGUUUGAGAAAGAAAACAAAAGGAAAGAAAAGGAAAGAAAGAAAGAAAGAGGAAAGAAAGGGAAAGGAAAGGAAAAGAAAAGAAAAGAGAAAAGGAAAACUGACGCAGUAAGAAAUGGGGCCUGUUAGUUUGGGAAAGAAAUGUAAAAUCUAUGUAAAUUUAGCUGAGUUUAACUGAGGUGUAAUUUUUUUCUAUAUAUUUGUGUUGGUGCACUCUCAUAAGCAUAUUCACAAGAAUCCUCAGUAAGGUACAAAGUGGAAAUACUCAGAAAAUGCCAAUUAGGCCAAGUACAUACCUGCAUGCCAGUUUUUCCAGUGUAUGAAGAGUCAGAUGAAAUUUAUCCUUCCAAAAAGAAUCUCUAGUUGGAUGAAGACAACAUAAAUACGGUUGUGCUUUAAUUUAAACUCUCUACAGAGUCACAAGAAGUUACGACUGUAACCUGAACCAAAGAGGGAAAAAUAAGGACCAUUUGCUACUAAUUAAAAAACAGGGGAUUAGAAAAAAAGAUGGCUGUGGGAAAUAGGGAACAGUUGUUCUCCCAACAUGGACCUCUCACCCUGCUGAUUUUGUGGUUUUCUAAACUACAAAAGUGAAAACUGGGAAAAUGACAACGAAAUUACUACCAACAGAUAAACGGAAUAUUCUCUAUGGUUUUUAAAAUAAUAGUUUAUAAAUUAGAGACAGAAAACUAGAUUUGCUAAGCAAAAAGCUAAUAUUUCCACAUUUUAGUUUCUUCUUCUAAGCAUAUACAAUAAAACACACAUAGUGGACCUCAUGUAGCUCCCUACAAUGCAAUUACAGUUCCAGUUCUUUGAUACUAAUUGCAAUCAAUUGCCAUGAAUCAACAGAUGAGGAGGCGGUUAAAGUUACAUAACUUUUAACAAACUAAGAUUGCUAAAGUUAAAUAAGUAUCAAUGUGGUCACUUUAAAGUACCUAGCUUCAUCAAGCAGAGCUACAAAAGCAGCAGGUUAGUGGGUUUCUGGCAAGGAAUAAUUGGUGCUGAGCAACAGACUGUAUAUGAGCAGAAACAUUGCGUAAAACUCACAUUACUGGCUCACCCACACCAUAUGUGCAUUUUGGAUGGAAACAGGGGCAGCUCUCAUACAGCCUUGCAUAGUUUGGCCUUUUCUGGCUAGGAUGAAUGAACAUUAUGUUUCAGUGUACUAGUUCACCCCAGUGGAAGCCAGAAAAUACCAGAAUUAUGACCUCUCAAUUCCAAUUUUUUCCAGCAAAAUUGAAGCUAGGACAAAGGUGGAGUGGUAAUGAAAAGAUACAAAUGUGAAGUUAUGGGAAAGAUCUUUACAAACUCUGAUAAACAUGCCUCAAGUGGAUUCAUCUUGCCAAUUUUGAGCCAUCAGCAACCCAUGCCAAUUUGUCAAAUAUAAAGGAUAAAAAGGUACAUUGUUAUAUAAGAAGAUGAGAAAAGGGCUGUCAUGAGCCUGUCAUCAUGAUCGCAUUCUGCUGGUGAACUGGGAGAGGAGAGAAGUGGAGAAGAGUAAGCAGCAAGGUAUAAGGGAAGGUUGAAAGGAGAAAAUCUUCAGUGAUGGGAGAGGAACCCGAAGGCCUAUAUGGAUCCCCCAGAGAUUUGUUUUGGGAAGGGGGUUGGAGGCAGGAAGUGGGUGAGGGGGCUCCUUCACUCCUUAGGCCUUCUUCAAUGGGGAGCAAAGUCUAGGAACAUUCACCCCAGGCCUCCCUCCACUCUCCAGUCACUGGGUUGGUGAUUGGGGAGCACUCAGCUGCAGGUGGUUCUCCCUCCUCCCCCUCUCCUCCCCCUUCUCUUCUCUAAUGCCCCACAGGGGCCCCCUCCCACCUGAGCAAGCCUGGCCCAGCCCAGCAGAUCCUAUAACUGUAUGGGUUCAGAUUAAGAAACUCAUUUGCUCCUUGAUAGAAGCCACAUUCUUCAACACCAGCUUUUUGGGCAAUAAAGAUGAGAAUUUGGUCUCCA